rnacentral:lncRNA from 1 species
AGGGGCAUUUCCCAGUUCUCUCCAGGAGUAUGAAAUUUCCCUCUUGUUUCUGCCCACCUGAGGGGCUGCACUUGGACCCUGCCAUGGGAAGAGGUCUAUUCCUCUCUGCCUCCUGGGGGACCCCCUCCUUGUGUGAGUCCCCUCUGAAGCCCUGCAGAACCUGGUCUGGGUCCUGAACAGUCCUGCCGAGGCCUGGCCUGUUGGACACAGAUGCUCAAAAUCUACUCAGAGCAUGCUGGCCCCUGUGGAGUGGUUCCUGUUCCUGGGGUGCUGAAGUGAAUGAGGGUGUUUCUCUGAUCCGUAAGAGCCUCCUGCCCGUUCAUCCAUCAACAGCCUCUGGGGACACCUUCGGCAGCAGGAAUCACUGGUGUUGGGUUGGAUCUAUGAACACGAGACACAGAAACACCAGCUGGAGGAGCCCAGGAGGCCCAGCAGGUGAGGUUA